rnacentral:rRNA from 1 species
UCGGGAAUUUUGGGCAAUGGGGGAAACCCUGACCCAGCAACGCCGCGUGAAGGAUGAAGUAUUUCGGUAUGUAAACUUCGAAAGAAUAGGAAGAAUAAAUGACGGUACUAUUUAUAAGGUCCGGCUAACUACGUGCCAGCAGCCGCGGUAAUACGUGGGGACCAAGCGUUGUUCGGAUUUACUGGGCGUAAAGGGCGCGUAGGCGGCAUGACAAGUCACUUGUGAAAUCUCUGGGCUUAACCCAGAACGGCCAAGUGAUACUGUCGCGCUAGAGUGCAGAAGGGGCAAUCGGAAUUCUUGGUGUAGCGGUGAAAUGCGUAGAUAUCAAGAGGAACACCUGAGGUGAAGACGGGUUGCUGGGCUGACACUGACGCUGAGGCGCGAAAGCCAGGGGAGCAAACGGGAUUAGAUACCCCGGUAGUCCCUGAGCGGGCUGGCAAGGCGCAU